AGGAGAUAAUGACAGAAGAGCUUUUUCUAAGGAGCCAAGGGGAAACACACGUUGGAAAUGGCUCCACGCAUCAGUCCCCUUAAAGAUGCCAGGAAACAUGUGAUUGCAAAGACGGACAAAACUUGCAUGUUGAAUGUGCAGUAAAUCAAUGCAGUGAAAGGUCGUGGUGUAUUUGCAAAGGGUUCCAUUUCUCAAGGAGAUUUCGUUCUCGAAUACAGGGGAGACAGGAUUCCUGCUGUUGAAGCCCAGAGAAGGAGGCUGAUAUACCACGAAUCAUGUACUGCAUUUCUUUUCAUGUUUAGGUGGAGAGGGAAAACAUGGUGUAUUGAUGCCGCCAGAGAUGACGGUUCACUUGGGCGCCUCGUUAACGAUGAACAUAGGCGUCCAAACUGUAAAAUGAAAAAUAUUGAUGUCAAUGGAAGCCCACAUCUUUGUUUGUUUGCCCUUAUGGACAUAAAACAAGGAGAAGAAAUUUCAUGAUUAUGGAGGUGAAGACUGCCCAUGGAGAACAGAAACGACCACAGUUGGACCAAAUGCACUGCUGGUAGAAGAUUUGCAUACUGUUGUCCUGGCAAAUACGAAGUGGGUGAUGCUACUCAUCCAAACAUCGCUCAACAGAUGACCACAGUUGGAGAAGAUGCCCUGCUAGAUGGGGGCUCGAAGCCUUUCCUUUCAAACACCGAAGGGGAUGAUGAUGCUACUCGUCCGAUAAUCACUAAACGGAUGACCACAGUUGGAGACGAUGCCCUGCUAGAUGGGGGCUCGAAGCCUGUCCUUUCAAACACCGAAGGGGAUGAUGAUGCUACUCGUCCGAUAAUCACUAAACAGAUGACCACAGUUGGAGACGAUGCCCUGCUAGAUGGGGGCUCGAAGCCUGUCCUUUCAAACACCGAAGGGGAUGAUGUUGCUACUCGUCCGAUAAUCACUAAACAGGGAACAACUGGUCCCCCACAGGGAACAUCCUCACAUCGAGAGCCCUGAAAUUCCACCAACCAAGAAGCGAAGACAACGGCCGUUGGUUGAAAUGCCGGAAGAAGUCGGCGCUAUGAGGCCUUCCUCACAAGCAGAGUCUCUUCCUCACAUCGAGAGCCCUGAAAUGCCACCACCCAAGAAACGCAGACAACGGCCUUUGGUGGAAAUGCCGGAAGAAGUCGGCGCUAUGAGGCCUUCCUCCCAAGGUAAAGCUGCAAAGAAGAAAAAACCCUGGCAGCCGACAGAGGUCCAGGCAGUCGAGAGGCACAUGACUCGCUUCAUCACCUCUUGCAUUGUACCUGGGAAGAGUGAUUGUGAGAAAUUUUUAAGGGUUGAACCAGAAGCACUACAGAACCGGGAUUGGCAGAACCUUAAAUUCUACAUUCAUAACCGAAUUAAGUCCUACAAAAAGAAGUGGCAAUGAAAAUAGUUUAUGCAUUGCAUGUAUAAUGUAUAAUAUUAUACAUUAUACAUGUAUAAUAAUUUUUAAUUAUUAUACAUGUAUAUAUAUCCACGUAAUUUAAACAUGAGUCUGAAAGAAGUUUAAUUAUUAUAGAUUUAAAUUUCAGGUAGUCGUUCAGUACUAUCAUUUUGCUCAGAAAGGCCAAAAAGGGCAUAAUUUUAAAAGAAUAUGCUGACGUUUCUACCUUGAUUCUGUAUUUCUAGAUGCUUUGUAUCCAACAAAUCUUGUUGAAGGGCCAAUAAAAGCCCAAAAAUGAGUGAGAC
ensembl:lncRNA